AAUACUACUUCUUAAUCUCCCUCAAAUAACAACCCUCAACAAGAGCAAGAACAGAUCCCCAAAUCGCUCAACAUAGCAACACGACCAACUCCAAAUACCCGAUCCCAUCGGCUCCAACGACACCAGCAAAAACCCGAUUCCAUCAGCCCCAACCUAUCUGUUUUUCUUCAACCGCGUCUGACGCAUCCGUAGGACGAGAAAAGGAUUCGAAAAUCUUCUAGAAGAUCGAUGAGGUGUCCUUCCCAACAUCCAUAUUCCGCAAAUUUUGGGAUGAAGGUACAUAUUUGGAUAAUUUUGAUUGGCCUGAGGGAGAUUAUUCCAUUUCCCUAUUUUCUAUUGGCCCUCUUUCAAAAUCCGUCGGAGGAAAAUCCAAAAUUGGGGGAUUUGAGGACGAAUACGGAAGUUGUAGAGGGAAUUUUUUUUGAAUUUCAAAUUCAUAAAAUCCUAUUUUUGGAAUCCCUAAAAAUCCCUCAUUUGGUCUUCUAUAUAAGGACCCAUUUCUUCACUGUUUUGGGGAGAGAAAAAUAUAGGGGGGAGAUUCUAGAGUUGGAAAUUCUUUAAAAAACUUCUAGGGUUAGGAAUUUCAGUGCAAAAAGAUUUUUUGAGAGCUAGCUAGGUCAGAGAAGAGAGAGUGGGAAAAUUUUCUUUUUGUGAAAGCAAAGGAAAAGCAGAGAAAAGAGGGGUUGAGAGAAGAGGGAACUGUUCCUUAGCAAAAAACUCUAGAGAAAGCGGUGUGCCAAUCGAGAUUUUAAUAAAAGACAUCGACUUUCCGGUGGUAGUUGAAAUUCCAUCGAAACAUCGAGUCCCGUUUUGUUGCUCCGAAAUAGUUCAGCCUGAUGUUUUGUCUCGUUCGAAGUUGAUAUAUGACGUUUUCUUGUCUGUCGUUAUUGUUGGGAUGUUGUCGAAAAUCGAUGAGCUUGCUGGUGUGCUGAAACCAUUCGGGGAUGAUGGAAUGUCGUCUAGAGAAACAGCAAUCUGGUUGACAAAAAGUCUCAUGACUGCACAAAAGUUGUCCAAGGGGUCGUGAUGUUGCACAAAACCUAUCUUUUGACCUAUGAACGAGCCUCUGUCUUAGGUAAAUCAUCAAGUGUUGUUGGACUAAACUAUUCCUCGAGGCUUAACGUGGUUGAGCAUCCCUUAGUUUUGAUUCUAUUGUUGUAGGACAGUUGAUGGAGCUGUGAAGAUUAUAUAUAAUGUACUUUUAAAGUUGAUUUCUACUCUAUGAUGAUACUUACC